AUAAAGAUGACGAGUCCCAAAAUAGGACGAAACGCGUGUCCUGGAU
rnacentral:hammerhead_ribozyme from 1 species